rnacentral:lncRNA from 1 species
CAAGACUCAGGGGGGAUCUUACCAAUGUGUAUGAAUGCCUGAUGGAGGGUGGGGAGUAAAGCAGACAGAGCCAGACUGUUGUCAGUGGUGCCCAGUGACAGGACAAGAGGCGACAGGCACCAACUGAAAAACAGGAAAUUCAGGUUAAACAUAAGAAACAACUUUUUCGCUGUGAGGGUGGUUGAACACAGGAACAGGUUGCCCAGAGAGGUUGUGGAGUCUUCAUCCUUGGAGAUAUUCAAAGCCUACUGGAUAUGGCCCUGAGUAACCUGCUGUAGCUGACCCUGGUUUGAGCAGGGAGUUGAACUAGACUUCAGAGGUGCCUUCCAACCUCAGCCAUUCUGUGAGUUUGCUGGCCCAUUAUCCUGUUGUUGCUGCAGAACAGAAAGAGACAAGAUACAGUUUCUAUUUCUGUGUUCUUAAAAGCACCUGCUCUUCAAAGAGCAUGGAAGCAAAGUUUGUUCUCCUGUGCUGGUGCUGGAUGAUGGACUAAAAUUCAACUUGUUGGAAGUUGACAGAGGCCAGAAGUGUGCCAAAAAAUUUCAGAAAUGUGGAAAAACAUCAUUCUCUGGACAGAAUAUUGAACAGGAUGAACAAGUGACGGUAACAAAUACGUCGAUAAGCUSAUCAUGUUGCACAUUAGAUGAUGAAGAUAUUUCUGUCCCUUGACAUCUCAUGUUCUCACAACAAAUGAUUAUACAUCAAAGAAAUGAGCUCUGAGUCAAAAUGACAGUAAAGAUGAUGAGCUAGAAAAUAAUGGAAGAGCUGGUACCUAUGAAAUUACUGCAAAUGACUGAAGGAAUGGGGUAAAGGAAAUUGCUCAGAAAGUUGUUCAGAUGACUUAAACUGCUGUCUGAAAAAUAAAUAAUCUAGGGUAUGACUUCUAGAAAUGAAA